ACGGGAGGCAGCAGUGGGGAAUAUUGCACAAUGGGCGCAAGCCUGAUGCAGCGACGCCGCGUGCGGGAUGACGGCCUUCGGGUUGUAAACCGCUUUUGACUGGGAGCAAGCCCUUCGGGGUGAGUGUACCUUUCGAAUAAGCACCGGCUAACUACGUGCCAGCAGCCGCGGUAAUACGUAGGGUGCAAGCGUUAUCCGGAAUUAUUGGGCGUAAAGGGCUCGUAGGCGGUUCGUCGCGUCCGGUGUGAAAGUCCAUCGCUUAACGGUGGAUCCGCGCCGGGUACGGGCGGGCUUGAGUGCGGUAGGGGAGACUGGAAUUCCCGGUGUAACGGUGGAAUGUGUAGAUAUCGGGAAGAACACCAAUGGCGAAGGCAGGUCUCUGGGCCGUCACUGACGCUGAGGAGCGAAAGCGUGGGGAGCG
rnacentral:rRNA from 1 species